GAGACAGAGUCAAACUUCUGAUGAUUGAGGAUGUUGGUACUGAGGUGACAGUUGUGAUGUCACUCUGGUAGCCCCGCCCUCCUCCUCUUCAUGUACAGGACCAUGCUGACUGCCAGCAGGUCAUCAGGUCGUCACACAACUGAAGACUGUUCACCAUGAUCCUAGCCUUCAUCCUCUGCUCUCUCUGUCUGUCCUGCAUCAAGGGUUCCUCUGCCAGUCCCACAGUUCAGCAGACUCCCUCUGCUCUGAUCAAGAACCUGGGAGACUCUGUUGACAAAGAGAUCCUUUGUUCACACAGCAUUCAAAACUAUGAUUGUAUCCUCUGGUACAAACAACAUUUAGAUGGGGCUCUCCAGCUACUUGGUUAUCUGAAUGUAAAUUUUCCAUAUCCAGAGGAAGAUGUGAAAGGACAAAUCAGCUUUGAGGGAAAUGGGCGUAGCGAGGCAAAGCUCUCCAUCUCCAAACUCUCUCCAAGUGACGGAGCAGUGUAUUUCUGUGCUGCUAGUCUGCACAGUGAUUCACCCUCCCUCUCUUCUCUACAAAAACCCUCCUGUGAUAAGAGUGGUGAUCAGUGUGUGUGAGCAGCCAGUCUGAGGCUGGCUCCCUCUCAACACCUGGGGCUCACGUCUGCCAGGGAAUCAGGAGCAGCACUUUGAUCAACGCUCACACACCACCACACUGGUGAUCUGCUGAUAAAGGUUCAACUGCAGUCUGACUUGUUCUGAGGACACGUCUGAAGAGCCCCACAGAGAAACAGCAUCUAACCUGGUGGAGGAGGUGACAGGACUGGAGGUGGAGAUCAGAGUCACGUAAUUUCCUCCCUCCAGAGAGAGAAGCACAGCUCAGUCAUGUUUCUGGUCAGUUGCUGAGAUGUGUUCAGCUCUGACAUCCUCAUCCAUGAUCUCUCUUGUCAUCCCAGUCUCUGUGUUGCUACUGGGGGCUGCAGGUCUCUCUGAGGGGAGUGAUGUCACCCAGACCCCAAGCAUCCUCUGGUCAAUCAAGGGGCAGCCUGCUGAGAUGGACUGCAGUCACACCAAGGGUGCUUCACACUACCAGAUGUACUGGUACAGACAGCUAGCAGGACAGGGGAUGAAGCAGGUUGUGUACAGUGUGCCCAGCAGCAAGCCUGACUUUGGAGAGUUUGGUGAAGUCAAAUUCUCUGCAAACAAGACUGUAGCAGAGAGAGGAUCUUUCACAGUGAAGAACUCUUCACCAGAAGACAACGGCAUGUACUUCUGUGCUGUUUAUGAACACAGUGAUACAGACAUCAUGUGCAGCUGCACAAAAACCCCCAAUUUCUCAUGAAAGGCCCUGAGUGACGUCAUGUGAGAUGACAGUGUGUUCUGCUGACACUCCCUCCAUCCACCUCCUCUGGGCAGAGUCACUGUGACACAGCAGGGGGUGGGUGUAGCUCAGGGGUAGACAGCCUCCUCCCUCUCAGUUAGUAAGCAGACUUUGUGAACAAUACUUCUCAAACCGUUACAAAGUGCUUUCCUGUACAUGUAUCAAUCCAACAAACCAACACAGAAUCAAAGCAAGACCCAGUAAAGACAACAGUGGUCCAGCAGUAACAGGUCCCAGAUUAUCUGAGUGAAGCCUCACUG